GUAUAAUCCGCACCGUCUGGUGCCCGCGCGUGCGUUCGGCACGCGCAGUUAAACGGGAAACACAUGGCGGACGAUUCCGUGUCCGCCAGGGUGUGCUGCCCCCGCAACGGUAAGCAAGCGCCGUCUUCGACGGCAGGCCGGUCCUCGAACCACUGUGCGCAGCCGCGCAUGGGAAGGUGGGCCGGUCCGCCUUGCCAGCCCGGAUACCGGCCAGACAGGUGGCGGACCU
rnacentral:ncRNA from 2 species